UUUGUGUUGCGCGAAAACUAUGAUGCCGAACGAUUAACAGCACACACGGGUACUGUAUAUAUAAGUACACGUAGAUAUAUUACGUCACAGUAGCCAGUCCAACAUCAUAGAUCGACGCUUCUCAGAUACGUAUAACGUACGCUGGAAUAGGGAAGUAAUGCUGCUAGGCGUAUCUCGGCAAUAAUUUUUGUUUCUCCGCAAGCUUGUUGAGUCAUAGGAAGAGAAGAGUUGAGGUCAUUUCCUUAAUGCAUUACUAACUGUAAUGCCCGUUCUUGCUGUUUACACAUGAACACAAGCCGAAGCCUUGCUGUUGCAAAAUAUGCUGCAUUGUUUUUAUUGUUCUAGAAUGGCAGAUGGUAGACCGCUGGCAGUGGGAGUCCCCUACAGCAGAGUCACAUUACAGUCCGGUCACGUGACCACUGACGAAAUCACUUCUCAUUCGACCUACUGUUGCCUGGCAUGGUUCUCUUGCCUCUGCUGUUGGUGGCCGCUCGGAUGUUUGGCAAUACGUUUUUCGAAUAGGGCGAGCAACAGUUUUGAGAUGAAAGAUAUUGCCAGUGGUAACGAGGCUGCUCGAACUUCUCGCGUUUUCAGCAUUGUGAGCAUUGUGAUUGGCACAGUAGUCUAUAUCACAACAAUUAUCACCGCGACUGUUAUUUUAACCAUUUAAAUUAAAAACAAGAACCCUGACAAUAAAAAUAACUAGAAUCCCAAAAUCUCCUGACUGGUUUGGGAAAGUUUAGACAAGGAUAGGAUCUAUGUUUUACAAUUUUCGUGUACUACUUUUCGUUGUUUGUGUUGCUGUUUCUUGUUGCAGCUUGCUA